AACUGACUUGCCUGGUUAAAUACAGGUAAUUAAUUAAAAUAACAGUCACAUUAGAGUUCAACUCAAUUAUCAGGACAGAAAUAGCACACUUUACCUCCAGACAUGACUAAAUGAUGUCAUGAUAUCUUGUUUCAGAUUUUGGAGGCCAUGGCAAGAUGACGCAGAGACGGGAAUUCAGAAGAAGAUGUGAUUGGUCGGCUUGAACAGUCAGCAGCGAAGGAGAGCCCAUCCAGCCGACGCGACGCACAAUCACAUUACUCAGAGGCUGCUCCAAAACACCGUCGGUGGAGAAGUGGAAGGAUAUGCUCACACUGAGCUCAUCAGGUACAUCAAAGUUGGGACCGAGAGACUGAAAAACAGCUUCUAUCUCAAGGCCAUCAGACUGUUAAAUGUCCAUCACUAGCCGGCUUCCACCCGGUUACUCAACCCUGCACCUUAGAG